rnacentral:rRNA from 1 species
CCUACGGGUGGCAGCAGUGGGGAAUAUUGCACAAUGGGGGGAACCCUGAUGCAGCAACGCCGCGUGGGUGAAGAAGUACUUCGGUAUGUAAAGCCCUGUCAGCAGGGAAGAAAAUGACGGUACCUGACCAAGAAGCCCCGGCUAACUACGUGCCAGCAGCCGCGGUAAUACGUAGGGGGCAAGCGUUAUCCGGAUUUACUGGGUGUAAAGGGAGCGUAGACGGCAAGGCAAGUCUGGAGUGAAAGCCCGUGGCUCAACCACGGGACUGCUUUGGAAACUGUGUUGCUGGAGUGCAGGAGGGGUAAGCGGAAUUCCUAGGGCAGGGGUGAAAGGCGUAGAUAUUAGGAGGAACACGGGUGGCGAAGGCGGCUUACUGGACUGUAACUGACGUUGAGGCUCGAAGGCGUGGGGAGCAAACAGGAUUAGAUACCCUUGUAGUC